rnacentral:rRNA from 1 species
CAGCCGCCACGGGAAUACGUAGGUGGCGAGCGUUGUCCGGAAUUAUUGGGCGUAAAGGGAGCGCAGGCGGACAUAUAAGUCCAUCUUAAAAGUGCGGGGCUCAACCCCGUGAGGGGAUGGAAACUGUAUGCCUUGAGUGCAGGAGAGGAAAGCGGAAUUCCCAGUGUAGCGGUGAAAUGCGUAGAUAUUGGGAGGAACACCAGUGGCGAAGGCGGCUUUCUGGACUGUAACUGACGCUGAGGCUCGAAAGCCAGGGGAGCGAACGGGAUUAGAGACCCCUGUAGUCCCUGUCUCUUAUACA